rnacentral:rRNA from 1 species
CCUACGGGGGGCAGCAGUGAGGAAUAUUGGUCAAUGGGCUUACGCCUGAACCAGCCAAGUCGCGUGAGGGAAGACUGCCCUAUGGGUUGUAAACCUCUUUUGUCAGGGAGCAACGCCGGCUACGUGUAGCCGGACUGAGAGUACCUGAAGAAAAAGCAUCGGCUAACUCCGUGCCAGCAGCCGCGGUAAUACGGAGGAUACGAGCGUUAUCCGGAUUUAUUGGGUUUAAAGGGUGCGUAGGCGGAAUGCCAAGUCAGCGGUAAAAUCGCGGGGCUCAACCUCGCUCCGCCGUUGAUACUGGCAGUCUUGAGUACAGUUGAGGUAGGCGGAAUUCGUGGUGUAGCGGUGAAAUGCUUAGAUAUCACGAAGAACUCCGAUUGCGAAGGCAGCUUACUAAACUGCCACUGACAUUGAUGCUCGAAAGUGUGGGUAUCAAACAGGAUUAGAUACCCCAGUAGUC